rnacentral:rRNA from 1 species
GUGGCAGCAGCCGCGGUAAUACGUAGGGGGCGAGCGUUGUCCGGAAUUACUGGGCGUAAAGGGCGUGUAGGCGGCCUGUUAAGUCAGGGGUGAAACUCCGGGGCUCAACCCCGGGCGUGCCUCUGAAACUGAUGGGCUUGAGUGCUCUAGAGGGCAGUGGAAUUCCCGGGGUAGCAGUGAAAUGCGUAGAAAUAGGGAGGAACUCCAGUGGCGAAGGCGG